UCUCGCGAGUGUCAGUGGCUACACGUGUGUCAGGAAAAAUAUCGUUUAUUUUGAAAAUCUAUUGCACUUUUUCACAAGAAACCAACUCUAAGCUCAUUUAUUAAUCUAACUAAGGUGGUGGUAAACACAUUUUGUUGUAUUUUUGGUACGAUAAGUCCGCUUAGUUUUGCAGUUGAAUUAUUAUUUUUUAUAUUUAUUUUUAACAUUGUGUAAAAGCUGCGCACGUGACAUUGGCGGAACAGUGUGCCCCCAGUGGCGAAAAAACACAAGUCCAUCGCCAUCAAUAAAUGAAGAAGAAG